rnacentral:lncRNA from 1 species
AAAUAGUUCGAAAGAAAAAAAAGAAGAGUGGAGAAAGAAAGGUUGAUGGCUGAAGAAGAUCCUGACAAAGCUAGAAAAUUGGAGGUAAAAGCUUGUAGAUUACCUUAACUGUUUUUGGCACAAGUCUUUGUUAUAUUGGGUCCUCAAUGCUCAUCAACUUUGUACUUGUUUGACUUUGAACUUUUUUGAACUGAGCGUCACUGAUGAGUCUUAUGUAGAUCAAAUUACAAGCCUGGUAACUUUGAUAAUUAAUGCAAAUGAUAUGCAGAAAAAAUCUCUCAAAUUACAUGUAGAUACAUUGCUCACACUUGACACUUUCAUGAUAAUUUGCAAAUGUGCUGAUUGGCAUGGUAACACUUUUCUGAUUAAAGGAUAAUAUUCUAUGCUAAUUUAUUUUCAUGGGUAUCUAUUUUUAUGAAUUAAGGAAGCAAUUUAUUUUUGCGGAUAUUUGAUUUUGUGGUUCUACAAAACUCUGCAUACAAGCCUUUAGAAAAUACUUUCCAUUAAAAUUUAUAUCCCAGGUGUUAUAAUGAAUCAAAAUUAAUACUUUAAUAUUUAAUAUUUUCUGGGAAAGUGCGGUUGAUACUUUUCUGAGUAGUUUAUUGUUACAAAGUUAUGUUUACACAUAUACUAAGGUCAACUAUAUGUAAAUACUUUAUAUGCAUUCAGUUUAUUGAUUUAUGUUAUUUUUGAAUUUAUGUAACUCUUAAAUGUAUAACUUUAUAUAUAAUGCAAAAACAUAGCCCUGUAAUAGCAUGUUUUUUUUGGAACAGUAAAUAUCAUUUCCUUGAUUCAUUUAAUAAAUAUUUUUUAUGGUUGAUCUGUUAAUCUUACUUAAAGUGUAAUGGUUGAAACACUGGCUAUUUAAUAUUUUUAUAACAUGUUAGAAAGAAUAUGCAUCUAUAAUGAAAAUGUCAAAUACUGUGUUUACUAACGAUAUGCUUAAAAGAAGGUAUAGAAUAUACUGGAAAUUAAAAAAGUUGCCGGUGAAUAUGUUUGACAGUGACAUUUAUGGCAAUGCCUUUUUUCUUUAAAAAAAGUAUUAACACAAAGACUGAACUCAAAGAUAAAUUUAAAAAUGAGAAAGUCAGUAAAACCUGAAAAAAUCAGAUGUCAACCAAUUUAAUGAAUGUAAAAACCAACUGUCAUUUCCUGACUUGUACAACCAUUUUUUUUUGUUUACAACUAUAGAAAAAACUUUGAAUAAAAUCAUCACAGAUAUCAGCAUUUAAAUUUUGUACUGCCUUUUGUCUACAAAAAAAUUACCAAUCACAUUUGAAUCAAAAAAUUUUAAAGCCAAAUAAGGUAAAAUUUCAAAGACAAAUGUUAUCAAUAACAAAACUUUGUCUGAUCAUUUAAACAUUCUAAUACUGCAAUGGUUGUAGAAUAAUGUAAGCAUAAGAAUAUUUUUCUAUCUUUUCAAUAUUUUUUGUAGGAGAGAGAUAGUAGAAGAGAAGCCAAAAGGAAACAGCCAAAAAUGAAGAUGAUGAAAGUCAAGGCCAUGUAAAAAUGUCAUGUGACAUAGUGUAUGGCCUUGUAGAUAUGUCAUUAUGACAUACUGUAUGGCUAUGUAGAAAUAUCUCUGAGACAUAGUGUAUAGCUAUGAAGUAAAAUCAUUAGCUUAUUUGUUGUCCCCCUACUACCUACACACAUAUUUUUAUUCUGUUUCAUAUUGCUUUCUAUUCAUAUUAUGAACAUGGUUUUAUUUCUAAUCAGUGAAAUUUCAUUUCAUUGCAGCUACAAUUUUUGCAUUUUGACUGUUUUAUCAUAGACACAUAUAUUACAUAAACACACUUAAAAAGUGAUGCGAGUUAGGUGUUCUUGUAAUAAUCAGAACUGAUUGUAAGUGUUAUAAUAAUAUAUGUCUGUCCUUUUGUAUAUAGUUUACAUUUAAAUGUGAUCAGAGAUUUUAAAUAAAAUAUUUUACAUGUG